rnacentral:rRNA from 1 species
GGGACAGAAAGACCCUAUGAAGCUUGACUGUAUCCUGGAAUUGGGUUCGGGCUUUUCUUGCGCAGUCUAGGUGGGAGGCUAUGAAGAUUUCCUUCCGGGGAAGUUGGAGCCACAAUUGAGAGACCACUCUGGAGAGGCUAGAAUCCUAAUGGUGAUCCUUGAAGCAGGACACUUGACAGUUUCAGGUGGGCAGUUUUUCUGGGGCGGAAGCCUCAUAAAAGGUAACUGAGGCGCGCAAAGGUUCCCUCAGUCUGGACGGAAAUCAGACAACGAGUGUAAAGGCAAAAGGGAGCUUGACUGCAAGACCUACAAGUCGAGCAGGAGCGAAAGCUGGCCUUAGUGAUCCGACGGUGCCGUGUGGAAGGGCCGUCGCUCAACGAAUAAAAGUUACUCUAGGGAUAACAGGCUGAA